CGAACCUUCGGGUUAGUGGCGGACGGGUGAGUAACGCGUGAGAAUCUGCCCUCAGGAGGGGGAUAACAGUUGGAAACGACUGCUAAUACCCCAUAUGCCGAAAGGUAAAACUAAUUUCGCCUGGGGAUGAGCUCGCGUCUGAUUAGCUUGUUGGUGGGGUAACGGCCUACCAAGGCUUCGAUCAGUAGCUGGUCUGAGAGGACGAUCAGCCACACUGGGACUGAGACACGGCCCAGACUCCUACGGGAGGCAGCAGCGGGGAAUUUUCCGCAGUGGGCGCAAGCCUGACGGAGCAACGCCGCGUGAGGGAUGAAGGCCUUUGGGCUGUAAACCUCUUUUCUCAAGGAAGAAGAUCUGACGGUACUUGAGGAAUAAGCCACGGCUAAUUCCGUGCCAGCAGCCGCGGUAAUACGGGAGUGGCAAGCGUUAUCCGGAAUUAUUGGGCGUAAAGCGUCCGCAGGCGGCCGUUUAAGUCUGUUGUUAAAUCGUAGAGCUCAACUCUAUCACGGCAAUGGAAACUGUUCGGCUUGAGUAUGGUAGGGGCAGAGGGAAUUUCCGGUGUAGCGGUGAAAUGCGUAGAUAUCGGGAAGAACACCAGUGGCAAAAGCGCUCUGCUGGGCCAUUACUGACGCUCAUGGACGAAAGCCAGGGGAGCGAAAGGGAUUAGAUACCCCUGUAGUCCUGGCCGUAAACGAUGAACACUAGAUGUUGGGGGAAUCGACCCCUUCGGUGUCGUAGCUAACGCGUUAAGUGUUCCGCCUGGGGAGUACGCACGCAAGUGUGAAACUCAAAGGAAUUGACGGAGGCCCGCACAAGCGGUGGAGUAUGUGGUUU
rnacentral:rRNA from 1 species